AUAAGCCUUAUUCAGAGAGAUCAAGAGAGAAAAGAAAGCAGCUAAACAUAGUUCUGACAAGUUUGUUACUGUGGCUGACAAAGGAAGCUAUGUGCAGAAAAUGAAUCACUUGGAUGGAGGAUUCUCAUUUCCCCCUCCUAGAGAUGGAGAGUUAGUUCAGACAAGCUCGAGUAAGUCUUUAUGGUCAAACAAGUGCAACACUGUUGUCAGUGAUGAAGCUGAUGAUUCUCUGAUGGCAAGUGAUGACAUGCUUGCUCCGUGGAGACGCAAAAGCAGCGAGUCUUCACCUGUCAAGAGCUCAAGAGAUGAAAGCAAUGCACACGUCGCAGGAUCAGAAAAUUCUAGCCCUUCUUCUCUUUCAAACUAUGGCUAUGCUGAACGGGAGCAUGUGAAGAAAGAAGAGACAAAAAUAGCCAGUGCAAGAGAAGAAGACGUAGGGGCGUCACUGGAGGAUGAGGAAGCAACAGCCGUACAGGAGCAAGUAAGGCAGAUCAAGGCACAGGAGGAGGAAUUCGAAACCUUUGAUCUAAAGAUUGUGCAUAGGAAAAACAGAACUGGCUUUGAGGAG
rnacentral:misc_RNA from 1 species